rnacentral:misc_RNA from 1 species
GGGUAUCUCACGGAUAAACUAGUCAUACAAAAUGUAAAUAAAUUAGAUGCUAUCCAAAACGCAAUAUUUUUUUCUUGGUGAAAUAUUAUUCUAAAUAAUGUCUGCCGAGCAAAAUACAACACACAAUAAACCAAUGGUUAAUGUUGAAUACUGUGGCAUGUGUGAUUAUGGAGGACACUGUUUGGCCCUUGCUCAAACUAUAAAAAAAAGUACUCCUGACGCUGUAGUGUUCUGUAAACGAGGACGCCAAGGUAAUCUAAUUUAAGGUUCAUUUGAAGUGCUAGUCAAUGAGAAACUAAUUUAUUCAAAACUUCAAACCAUGGCUUUGCCAGAUUAUGAGGAAGUAGCUGAGGUAGUGAACGCAGUAUCACAUGGCCAGGA